rnacentral:rRNA from 1 species
UCAGGAGGGCCGGGGGCGCCGAUCGGUCCAACGAAACCGACGGACCCCUUCCCAGGGCCGGACCGGACGCUUCGCGCGGUCCUCGGUCCGCCUGACGCACUUCCCUCCCGCACGCGAGGACGCCGCAACCGGUCGGGUAGCUGCGAGAGUCGGCCAGGAGGCUGGGCCAAGUGCAGGUUCCCGGGGGCGUUCGCUUCGGCGGCGUCGCCCGGUUCUUAGCCGGCCCGUGCCGUGGCGCGACACCCGACCGAGGUCGAAGGUCUCCCGACUCCGGGAGCACGGCCGUCCCCUUUUCAAACCUAGCGGGAGCGCGCGCAGGCGUGUUCCGGCGCCGCCGAGUCACCCUCCGUGGUGGCCGGCGAGUCGGGGCCGUCGUUGGCGAGCGCCUUCCACGCCCGCGGCGGGGACCACGAAGGUUGGCGGCGAGUAGGUCGGUCACCCACCCGACCCGUCUUGAAACACGGACCAAGGAGUCUAACAUGUGCGCGAGUCACGGGGUCUUGAACAGGCCCAGAGGCGCAAUGAAAGUGAAGGCCCGCCCUCGCGGCGUGGCCGCGUUGGGACUCCGGCUCCACCGUCGGGCCGGAAGCACCAACGACCCGUCCAGACCGGCCCCGUCCGGUCGGGCGGAGUCCGAGCGUACACGUUGGGACCCGAAAGAUGGUGAACUAUGCCUGGGCAGGACGAAGCCAGAGGAAACUCUGGUGGAGGUCCGUAGCGGU